rnacentral:rRNA from 1 species
AACGUAGGUGGCAAGCGUUAUCCGGAAUUACUGGGCUUAAAGGGUUUGUAGGCGGCCUUGUAAGUCAGGUGUGAAAUCCCUCGGCUCAACCGAGGAAUGGCGCUUGAUACUGCACGGCUUGAGGGAGACAGGGGUAAGCGGAACUGAUGGUGGAGCGGUGAAAUGCGUUGAUAUCAUCAGGAACACCGGUGGCGAAGGCGGGUCUCUGGGCAACAACUGACGCUGAGGAGCGAAAGCGUGGGGAGCGAACAGG